UGGGGAAUAUUGGACAAUGGGCGAAAGCCUGAUCCAGCCAUGCCGCGUGUGUGAAGAAGGUCUUCGGAUUGUAAAGCACUUUAAGUUGGGAGGAAGGGCAGUAAGCGAAUACCUUGCUGUUUUGACGUUACCGACAGAAUAAGCACCGGCUAACUCUGUGCCAGCAGCCGCGGUAAUACAGAGGGUGCAAGCGUUAAUCGGAAUUACUGGGCGUAAAGCGCGCGUAGGUGGUUCGUUAAGUUGAAUGUGAAAGCCCCGGGCUCAACCUGGGAACUGCGUCCAAAACUGGCGGGCUAGAGUAGGGCAGAGGGUGGUGGAAUUUCCUGUGUAGCGGUGAAAUGCGUAGAUAUAGGAAGGAACACCAGUGGCGAAGGCGACCACCUGGGCUCAUACUGACACUGAGGUGCGAAAGCGUGGGGAGCAAACAGG
rnacentral:rRNA from 1 species